rnacentral:rRNA from 1 species
UACGUAGGGAGCAAGCGUUGUUCGGAUUUACUGGGCGUAAAGGGCGCGUAGGCGGCGCAGUAAGUCACUUGUGAAAUCUCUGAGCUUAACUCAGAACGGCCAAGUGAUACUGCGGUGCUAGAGUGCAGAAGGGGCAAUCGGAAUUCCUGGUGUAGCGGUGGAAUGCGCAGAUAUCAGGAGGAACACCAACGGCGAAGGCAGCUCGCUGGGACGGUACUGACGCUGAGGCGCGAAAGCGUGGGGAGCAAACAGG